rnacentral:lncRNA from 1 species
GAGUGAUCACAGUUUUUGAGAAUCAUGAUGAGGCAUUAAAGAAGAGGAGGAGUGUCUCAAGGGAGGUGAGCUGGAGGUGAUGCAAGGACUGCUUCCUUGCCAAACCCUCGCGUCCACUCCCCAACACACUUUGUGCUAAUUAAUGGCAUUUCAUCGCUUGAUUUUGAAAAAUGAAAGUGUGAACUACUUGUGAAAGAGCUCUUAGCAAGAUAAGAAAGAAAAAAUGACUCCUUAUCUCCCUAACCUACAGAAAAGCUGAAAAGCGUCUGGCACAUAUGAGCCUCAGACUCAGGGCUGGGACCCUUGGGACUCAAAAGAGAGAAAAGGUGGAGAAAAGAGAAAGCUACUAUUUUCUUCAUUUUGCCCCUGCUAACAUCCAAUGCACUUAGGAGCCUCGAUGUCUGCUCUCCAAGAGAUGUCUGAUCUGAAAGCAUGUUGUGGUCCGCUACACACAAGAGCAAAAGAAGAGCAGGAAGGAGCUCAGUGCCAAGACCAUAGCCACAGGAAGAAAACCAGCUCUUAGGGCUGCAGCUCUAAAGACAGGCCAGGUCAUUACAGGAACGUCUGCUCCCUUAGCCUUGCCAGACAGAGGAGGGUUAAGAAAGGAACUGCUGACCCUGAUAUGCAAACUGCCACGAGUGCUUCCUGCCUUUCUAUCAGCAUCAGAUGGCUAGCGAUGGAUGGCUGUAAGAUUGAUGUAAUUAACAUUUUAUUUUCAGGGCCACAGUGCUGGUUGGGUGCACCAGACAAAUCAACCAACAGAUUAAAGAGUGAUGGA